rnacentral:rRNA from 1 species
CGUUCGCCGCUCAACCUGGUGACUCUGAAUAACUUUCGGCUGAUCGCACGGUCCAGCACCGGCGACGCAUCUUUCAAAUGUCUGCCUUAUCAACUGUCGAUGGUAGGUUCUGCGCCUACCAUGGUCGUAACGGGUAACGGGGAAUCAGGGUUCGAUUCCGGAGAGGGAGCCUGAGAAACGGCUACCACAUCCAAGGAAGGCAGCAGGCGCGCAAAUUACCCACUCCCGGCACGGGGAGGUAGUGACGAAAAA